rnacentral:misc_RNA from 1 species
GAAAUGCGAUAACUAAUGUGAAUUGCAGAAUUCAGUGAAUCAUCGAGUCUUUGAACGCACAUUGCACCCCCUGGUAUUCCGGGGGGCAUGCCUGUCCGAGCGUCAUUGCUGCCCUCAAGCCCGGCUUGUGUGUUGGGCCCUCGUCCCCCGGCUCCCGGGGGACGGGCCCGAAAGGCAGCGGCGGCACCGCGUCCGGUCCUCGAGCGUAUGGGGCUUCGUCUUCCGCUCCGUAGGCCCGGCCGGCGCCCGCCGACGCAUUUAUUUGCAACUUGUUUUUUUCCAGGUUGACCUCGGAUCAGGUAGGGAUACCCGCUGAACUUAAGC